CCAGCUACAUAGCCAUUAUGCUAACUGCUGUUCCCUGUUUCCUCUGUUUUCUAUACUUCACUGCCAGUGCACCAUGUAUGUGUAUAGGUUCAUAUUUAUUGAUAUAUGCAAUAUGAUAGAAUUUAUAGGGAAUAUGUUCCAAGACCCCAAGUUGAUGUCUGAAAUCUUGGUUAGUACUGAACCCUAAAGACACUGUUUUUGUUUGUUUGUUUGUUUGUUUGUUUGUUUUUAAUCUGAUAACUGAUAUGGCUUCUAAGUCAGCAGUCCUCAACCUUUUUGGCACCAGGGACCGGUUUUCUGGAAGACGACUUUUCCAUGGACCAAGGCAGGGGGAAUGGUUUCAGGAUGAUUCAAGCACAUUGAGUUUAUUGUGCAUUUUAUUUCUAUUUUUAUUACAUUAAUAUACAAUGGAAUAAUUGUAUGAUUCACCAUAAUGCAGAAUCAGUGGGAUUCCUGAGCUUGUUUUCCUGCAACUCGGCAGUCCCAUGUGGGAGCUCCUAUGAGAAUUUAAUGCUGCCUCUGAUCUGACGGGAGGCACGGCUCAGGUGGCGAUGUGAGCAAUGAGGAGCAGCUGAAAAUACAGAUGAAGCUUUGCUUGCUUGCCUACUGCUCACCUCAGUCCACGGACUGGUAGCAACCCAGUCCAUGGCCUGGGUGUUGGGGACACCUGUACUAAGUGGCUAAUGGGCAGGUAGAGUAUAUAGCAUGGCUACACUGGACCAAAGGAAGAUUCAUGUCCCAAGUAGGAUGGCAAAAUGUUUCAUCAUGCUACCCAGAAUGGUGUGCAACUUAUAUCUUAACAAUUAUUUAUUUUUGGAACUUUUCAUUUACUAUUUUCAAACUAGGGUUCACCAUGGGUAAUGAAAACUGGAGAAAGCAAAGCCGUGGAUGAGAAGGAAUUGCUGCAUAUACACAUUUAGAAAUAUAUCCUGAAAUUCAUUCCGUAUCACCGUAUGUGUGAUGUGGCUGAUGUGAAGCCCUCAAGUGCUGCAGCUGUUUUACUACCAAGAACGUCAAAUUUAGGAUGAAGCUCAUACUUUGGAAGGUCAGACUAACAGACGGAAGGAAAUCUGGUCCUUGAUACUGUCUACAGAAUCAAACCAACUGCAAACUCUGCUCAUCUCUUAAAUUCACAAUUGUGUGAGCCAAUAAAUCCUUUUUAUUGUUUAAGCC